rnacentral:lncRNA from 1 species
GAUCAAGAUAAAGAGGAGCAAUACUUGAAGACUGGAUUGGCGAUCGAGUCAUAGUUAAUGUAGAGAUCACUUUUUAGCAAAAGUGUAGAAGAUUCACUUUGGAAAAGAGACAUCUCGUAAAUUUUAUAAAAACUUAGGAGAAGUUUUAGGGAGCUUAUCAUGUCUGAAGUUAUAGGAAAUAUAUUUUGGGAGGCUAACUUAGCCGAUUGGUUAUUGGGGUAUAUAUAGUCAUGCUUGAUCUGGGUAUUAGGAUUGUUACCAGAAUUGUAUUCUUAGCAUAAGUAUGAGUUUUGUAAACUUGUAAGUGAAUGAAAAGCACAAAGGGCUAAAGAGAAAGGUUC